UCUUCUAUGCCAAAAAAGGCAAAGUAUAAUUAUUACAAUCACCAGCGAUCUAACCUUUAUAAAUCACUGGAAAACAUUAAAUAUUCACUUACUACACAUAUGCCACUGAAAUGAACCACAACUCCCAAAAGUCUUUGCACUCAUCAACUCCAGCCACAGCUGACAGUAAUCUGGACACUUAUGCACACACAGCUGAAGCUCAUUAUUAACUAUUACAUGGACUAUAUAUACAUCCCAGUUUCACAUAUGCUUUGCUGAGUCUUGUUUUCUGUCAACUGUAAGUGAGCAUUAUGAAGCGGUUCCUUGUUCUGCCUUAUUGUGCCAACAUUAAUGACAAUAAAAAUCACGGUAAUAAAAUAAAAGUAAUAAAAAGCUAAUUAAAAUAAACCUUACGUGAUUAAUUUGUGCACACUUUGUCCCACCCCUGUUUCACUUCCAUAUGUUGUCAAUCCACACAGCCAAUGUUGAAAUGUACAGCUAUGUGGUUGUGUCACGGUUCAGAUGGAUGAUAGCAGACGGCACAGUCGCGUCUGAUUAAACAAACUCUGACUGCAUUUGUCUGCCUGUCAUUUCAGUCCUCCGGCUGCUCCCACGCUCAGAGACAACGACAACCAAGAUUACAUGAUGGCCCACAAUUAUACAGCGCAUCUCCAAUCAAACAUAAACCCUGGUCUGUGUGGAUUACUCAACGUCAAGCAAACCCUCCAGCAAACAAAUCUUCAUCCAGCUAACGUCAUACUCGAAUCUGUCCAGUCUUCCCCGUAUCCAGUCAGAGGUGUGUGCAUCGUCUUUCUGUCUUCCCUGCAAGUCAUCUGGUCUGUGCAUUCGGUCUUCAUGCAUCCUGCUAAGGAUAAGGACAAUAAUAUCAUCUCGGACUUCAUUCACAUAACCCUUAUCCUUCUGUUGCUCCGCUGUUAAAAUAAACAUUUAUUACUACUACUCA